ACAAAGCCAGUGUCUCCAGCCAGAAGAGGAAUCCGGUUCCGCCGCCGAAAUCUCGCCUCCUCCUCUCCUUCGCUCCUCGUCCUCCUCGCCAGCCUCCGCUCUACUGAAGAUCCAUCCAUGGUUGGAUUGGUUUCUUCUGCUGAUGGCCCUGUUCAGUUCCCCAAAAAUGUUCGCGUUCGGCCGGCGGCGGCCGCCUCGGAUCUCCCCGUCCCCGGGGGGGGGGGGGGGGGGGGCUGUGCAUCCCGCCGCCUGCGCCGAUCUCCAUCCGCAGCGAUGCGGGCGUCCUGCUGCUUCCGCCGCAUCCGCAUCCCCGCUCGCUCGCUCGCCGGUGAGCAUCCGAACCUUCGCACAUCCUCUUUCUCAUCCCCUCUCCUCUUCACCAUUAGUGAUGGAGAGUCUCAUGGCGAGUCUUUUACCCUGUGCCAUUAAAAAAGUUGUUGGCUAUAUUGUUAGCCUUGCUCUAAAACGAACACAGCCGUGUAGUCGUCUCUCCUUCUCUCCUCGUCCUCCUCGCCAGCUCCGCAGCCUCCGCUCAUCUGAGAUGGAGAGUCGAGACACGGAAGACCCAUCCAUGGUUGGAUUGGUUUCUUCUGUUGGUGAUGAUCCCCAACUCGCUCGCUCUCCUUCCUCCUCUUCGAUCCAUCCAGUUUUUGUUGCGGAUUUGUUUGCUGCUGCGCGUUGGAGUACUGGAAAGAUGGGUUUAAGCGUGAGGUCACCGCGCCGGUGUGGCGGCGGAGUCACGCGAGGCGAGCGCUCUGACGGGGCCAUUCCUUCCCGCUCGCGAUGGCUGAUGAUCGCAUCGGGAACGGCGGGGGAUGAGGAAGGAUGACGUUGGCUCCGGCCGGCGGCGGCCGCCUCGGAUCUCCGCUUUCUCGGGGGGCCAUCCCCCGCCGCAUCGCGCGCGCCGCGCCGGCACUGGCACGGAGGCCAUCGCCUCAUCGGCGGCCGCCGCGGGGGGGGGGGUGCGAUUUCCCCGUCCGUCCCCUCGGCCUCAACUCGUCUCCUCACGAGUUCGCCCGCCCGCCGCCGCCGAUCUCCAUCCAUCCCGCGAGCAGCGGUGCCGGAGUCCUGCUGCUUCCACCCGCUGCAUCCUCACUCGCUCGUUCGCCGCCUCGCCGGUUCCGAACCUUCCGACAUCCUCUUUCUCAUCCCCUCUCUUGUUCACCAUUAAACUUGCUCCUAGGGUUCAACUGAAUCACAUGCCCUGCGAACCAUGAGGCGAGUGCUACGAUCGGUCAUUCUCUCUUGCUAGCGGUGGCUGAUGAUCGGAAGAAACCGGGGCUUGUUGAAGAGUGGCAAAUAGUUAAAUUCCCCGCAGCGAUGAGGACUGAAGCUGUUUGGCUCCGGUGGCUCUCCCUAGUGGUGGUAGCUGCCUCGGAUUUCCGCUUCCCGGGGCCAUCCCCUAUCACAUGGGACAUGCUGCACCACAUUGGUGUGGAGGCCAUUGCUUCGGUUGCCACCAAUGGCGUGGCGUCUGUUGCGGCAGGGGAUGGGGAUUGUGGGGCGGUUUGCAUAGCAGGGGAUGGGGAUUGUGGGGCGGUUUGCAUGGCAGUUUCCUGCAGGGGGUUGGCUGGGCAACGCCAAAUCUGAGCUGCCACCAUUGAUAGAUUUUGUGCUAUGUAGUCACAGUUUUACUACACAUUGACACCCCCCACUUCCUCCUCCCCUUACCCUCCUUCCCUCUCUGCACACUUGCUGAGAGAGAACACUGGCGAUCUUGUUGGCAAUUACUACCUCCGUCUCAUAUCAUAUUGUAAGAAGGGAGUAUAUAUAAUCACAUUUGCUUGAAACCGCGACCCAUUUCAAUAGUCGCAAAUAGUUAGAUGCCCCUGCGGUGAUGGGAUGAGGCCAUUUGGCUCCGGAAUGGCUGCGGCUGCCUCUGAUCUCCGCUUCAUUGGGGUAUCCCCUGCAACAUUACACAUGCGGUGCCGCAUUGAACUGGAGGCCAUUGCUUUGGCAGCCGCGAUGCCAUGGUGCGUGCUGCGGUGGGAUGACUGUGCAGUGGAUGAUUUUUUUCACUAUUUAGUUCCUACCCAGGGGUUAGCCAGGCAAUGUGAAUCUGAGCUCCCGUUGAUGAAAUUUUUCACUAUUUAGUUCCAUUUUACUGUAUAUUGCCAUCCACUUUCCCCUCCCCUCCCACUUCGUGCCCCUGCGCACGAGAGAGAGCUUUCGAGCUUGAUCUGCAGGCAGUAUGUAUGCAUAUAUAUGUAUGUGUGUGGGCAUCUCGAGGAGAACUACUUUCAGGCUCGAACUGCUAAGAGCAAGUAUAAUAGCAGACUAUAAUGGCUCAUUGACAAUCCUACUUCCAACUGGUCGCUGCAUCAGUUCUCCACCUCUAGGGUGCCGCCUCUGCUGUUCCAUUGCCUUUGACUCAUAGCAGCAAAGGCUGGGAACCUACGAUGGAGUCUGUUGUGGCUUCUGCAUCAGGAUUCAGUGGGUAGAUGCCAGAUCUGAUCUGAAUAUCUGAUGGAUGGAUGUAUUUUUUAUGAUGAUGGUUUUGAUUUUCUAGUUGCUACUCCUGCUGUCUCCGGCUCACUGCAGCCGUACCUCGACCUGCUUCUCCAAAGUGUUGGAAACCUAGAAUGGGAUGUGGAUGAGGGGCGAUGAUGAUCAGUUUUUUUUGUUUUUUGUUUUUUUUUUUGUGAAAAAGCAUGCCUUUGAGCAACCAAGGCAGCAGAACAUGCCAUUAGACCCGACCCAAUCAUCUCCUGUAACCUAUUCACUCACCAAUGUUAGGUGACUCUUGCGCCUAGGAUGGUCAUUCUGUUGAUGAUAACCAGGGCAGAUCCACUUACAUUAAGAUGAGUAUAUUGUGGAGCAAGAUAUGUGGGGGUUGGGUCUGUAUGAUUGAUUAAAGGCGAAUCUGAGCCCACUUUG